GACGAACGCUGGCGGCGUGCUUAACACAUGCAAGUCGAACGGUGAAGGGGUCUGCUUUUGUGGGCCCUGGAUGAGUGGCGAACGGGUGAGUAACACGUGAGUAACCUGCCCCCUUCUUCUGGAUAACCGCAUGAAAGUGUGGCUAAUACGGGAUAUUCUGGGUCUGUCGCAUGGUGGGUCUGGGAAAGAUUGCGCCUUUGGGUGUUUUUGGUGGGGGAUGGGCUCGCGGCCUAUCAGCUUGUUGGUGGGGUGCUGGCCUACCAAGGCGGUGACGUGUAGCCGGCCUGGGAGGGUGCACGGUCACACUGGGACUGAGACACGGCCCAGAAUCCUACUGGAGGCAGCAGUGGGGAAUAUUGCACAAUGGGCGAAAGCCUGAUGCAGCGACGCCGCGUGAGGGAUGGAGGCCUUCGGGUUGUAAACCUCUUUCGCCAGUGAAGCAGGCCUGCUCCUUGUGGGUGGGUUGACGGUAGCUGGAUAAGAAGCGCCGGCUAACUACGUG
rnacentral:rRNA from 1 species